GGGGAAUUUUCCGCAAUGGGCGAAAGCCUGACGGAGCAAUACCGCGUGAGGGAGGAAGGCUCUUGGGUCGUAAACCUCUUUUAUCAGGGAAGAACACAAUGACGGUACCUGAUGAAUCAGCAUCGGCUAACUCCGUGCCAGCAGCCGCGGUAAUACGGAGGAUGCAAGCGUUAUCCGGAAUUAUUGGGCGUAAAGCGUCCGCAGGUGGUUUUGAAAGUUUGCUGUCAAAGCGCGAGGCUCAACUUCGUAUCGGCGGUGAAAACUUCAAGACUAGAGCUAGGUAGGGGUCACGGGAAUUCCCAGUGUAGCGGUGAAAUGCGUAGAUAUUGGGAAGAACACCAGCGGCGAAAGCGCGUGACUGGGCCUGAGCUGACACUCAUGGACGAAAGCUAGGGGAGCGAAAGGGAUUAGAUACCCCUGUAGUCCUAGCCGUAAACGAUGACAACUAGGUGUUGCCCGUAUCGACCCGGGCAGUGCCGUAGCCAACGCGUUAAGUUGUCCGCCUGGGGAGUACGCACGCAAGUGUGAAACUCAAAGGAAUUGACGGGGGCCCGCACAAGCGGUGGAGUAUGUGGUUUAAUUCGAUGCAACGCGAAGAACCUUACCAAGGCUUGACAUGUCGCGAAUCUCUGUGAAAGUAGAGAGUGCCUUCGGGAGCGCGAACACAGGUGGUGCAUGGCUGUCGUCAGCUCGUGUCGUGAGAUGUUGGGUUAAGUCCCGCAACGAGCGCAACCCUCGUUUCUAGUUGCCAUCAUUGAGUUGGGCACUUUAGAGAGACUGCCGGUGACAAACCGGAGGAAGGUGGGGAUGACGUCAAGUCAGCAUGCCCCUUACGCCUUGGGCUACACACGUACUACAAUGCUACGGACAAAGAGCCGCAAGUUCGCGAGGACAAGCAAAUCUCAUAAACCGUGGCUCAGUUCAGAUUGCAGGCUGCAACUCGCCUGCAUGAAGGCGGAAUCGCUAGUAAUCGCAGGUCAGCAUACUGCGGUGAAUACGUUCCCGGGCCUUGUACACACCGCCCGUCACACCAUGGGAGUUGGCCACGCCCGAAGUCGUUACUCCAACCGUUCGCGGAGGAGGAUGCCGAAGGCAGGGCUGAUGACUGGGGUGAAGUCGUAACAAGGUAGCCGUACCGGAAGGUGUGGCUGGAUCACCUCCU
rnacentral:rRNA from 1 species